rnacentral:lncRNA from 1 species
CCUGCUCCGACUUCCCCCUUUGAUUUAUUAUAGCCAUGAAAUGCUCUGCUGUCUUCUCUUUUCCUUGCUGUCCCCGGGGCUGGAGGAGAACAGCCUCCCCGGGAGCGGGCCUUGGCCUUGCUGGACUCCUGUCGCCUUCUGAGGGCUGGGCCAGGGAGACCAGAAACAAGAGGAGGCUGUGGAGAGGCCCAGGGUGGGAGCUCGGAGGGCUGAGGACAGGGCCGAGCUUCCUCCCUGCAGCGGGAUGCAGGGCCUAUCACACACAGACAGCCACGUGCUACCUCAUCCAGUUCAUGCAAUCCCACCAGUCUCUAGAGCUUCCAAGAUUUUUGGUUUCAAACCAAUUUCCUGCUGACCAGAAUGAAAUGAAGCCACAUUCCAGCGUGGUGCACCUGCUGGCCUCCUGA